CUCAUCUGGUAUAGUCAGACUGUCACCUAUGUCCAACACCUAACCCACAACAAAGUAAAGCCAUGCUGACCGUCUGCUGCCAGCUCGUCUGAUGCCACCGUUAGAUCCUGACAACCGCAACCAAGACCUAUUGCUCCUGCUCUCGUCGCAAUGAUACUAUAACAAUUCACUCC
rnacentral:lncRNA from 1 species